rnacentral:rRNA from 1 species
AUGGCUUCAUCCGGUUCCAGGACGAGGCCACCGUGCGCGGACCAAGAGGACAUACCGAAAACGUGGUUGGAGGCCAGUUUGGACAAGAAGAAGGAGAAGGAUGUGCCCACACCACCAUGUUGGUGUGGUGAUGUUUGCAAGCUGAAGGUGUCCACUGACCGCAACAAGUCAUGGACAGAAGGUAGAAGGUUUUUCGUGUGUCCCAACUAUGCACAUGAUCAUCGAAGGCCAACUAACGCAUAUGACAUACCACCGUCCCCUCCUCCACUUUGCAAGUACUUCACUUGGAUAGAUCACGAGGUACCAAAAGAUAUCCAAGAGGACCAGCGUGCAGAUUGGUUACGGAGGCAGCGCCUAUUCGAGGAGUCCUAUGCACGGGGAUUGGAGCGGGAGCGUCGUGAGAAGCAGGCUCGUGAGCGCAAGAAGCGUGAGCAAGAGAGGGCACACAAAGAGAAGGCGGCUCGUCAAGAAGAGAGGGCAAGCAAACUUGUAAGGGCUCGCGAUGCACGAGAGGAGGACGAGGCACGUGACAAGAAGGGAAAGUGGCCCCGGACUACUCAGUAG